rnacentral:tRNA from 1 species
GCGGUCGUAGCUUAGCUGGCCAAAAGCGUCUCCCUGUCACGGAGAAGAACGUGGGUUCAAAUCCCAUCGACCGCGCAA